rnacentral:rRNA from 1 species
UACGUAGGGUGCAAGCGUUGUCCGGAAUCACUGGGCGUAAAGCGCACGUAGGCGGAUUGUUAAGUCAGGGGGUGAAAUCCUGGAGCUCAACUCCAGAACUGCCUUUUGAUACUGGCGAUCUCGAGUCCGGGAGAGGUGAGUGGAACUGCGAGUGUAGAGGUGAAAAUUCGUAGAUAUUCGCAAGAACACCAGUGGCGAAGGCGGCU